AGAGAAAAAUGCCAAGAAAAAAGCUUCUAACUUCAUUUCUGAGCGGUUACAUUCCGUUCCUUUCUC
rnacentral:tRNA from 1 species